rnacentral:rRNA from 1 species
CGGUGUUUAACUGGCGUGAUGUGGGACGUCCUACCGGUGGGCUUAGCCUCGCGAGGGGCGGCCCAACUAAUAUCCCGUCGCGGUGCUCUUUACUGAGUGUCGAGUCGGGCCGGUACGUUUACUUUGGACAAAUUAGAGUGCUUAAAGCAGGCUAUCCUCGCCUGAAUACUGCGUGCAUGGAAUAAUGGAAUAGGACCUCGGUUCUAUUUUGUUGGUUUUCGGAACCCCGAGGUAAUGAUUAAUAGGGACAGAUGGGGGCAUUCGUAUUGCGACGUUAGAGGUGAAAUUCUUGGAUCGUCGCAAGACGGACAGAAGCGAAAGCAUUUGCCAAAAAUGUUUUCAUUAAUCAAGAACGAAAGUUAGAGGUUCGAAGGCGAUCAGAUACCGCCCUAGUUCUAACCAUAAACGAUGCCAGCUAGCGAUCCGCCGAAGUUCCUCCGAUGACUCGGCGGGCAGCUUCCGGGAAACCAAAGCUUUUGGGUUCCGGGGGAAGUAUGGUUGCAAAGCUGAAACUUAAAGGAAUUGACGGAAGGGCACCACCAGGAGUGGAGCCUGCGGCUUAAUUUGACUCAACACGGGAAACCUCACCAGGCCCAGACACCGGAAGGAUUGACAGAUUGAUAGCUCUUUCUUGAUUCGGUGGGUGGUGGUGCAUGGCCGUUCUUAGUUGGUGGAGCGAUUUGUCUGGUUAAUUCCGAUAACGAACGAGACUCUAGCCUGCUAAAUAGGCGUACCUUAUGGUAUCGCGAAGGCCCCCGGCUUCGGCCGGUGGGUUUUUACUACCAACGUACAAACAAAUCUUCUUAGAGGGACAGGCGG